CCUUGGCCACUGCAUCCACCCUUGGUGAAUGCUGGGCAAUGGGUGAUGGGUGUGGUGUCCACA
ensembl:miRNA